rnacentral:lncRNA from 1 species
CCAAGAUCUUGUGUACACUGAUCAAUGGGGGAUGAGGAAUUACGAGUACAUUUCACUAGGUUGUGAUACCAUUCCGGUCCUGAAAGGUCGAACGCCUGUCCAGUGUUACUCUGACUUCAUGCGUGCCUUCAAAGACAAGUUCAAGGACCUUCUUGGUGACACCAUUGUGGUAAAUACUCACAUAACUUGUUAGUACUUUUCAAUUUAGAUUGUUAUGGUAGAAGGCUGGUUGAUGAAUGCUAAAUUAUUUGUUACAUAUAGGAAAUCCAAGUGGGAAUGGGUCCAGCUGGUGAGCUGCGUUACCCUUCGUAUCCAGAGCAGAAUGGGACAUGGAAAUUCCCAGGAAUUGGAGCUUUCCAGUGUUAUGAUAAGGUAUUUGCUAAUUUUUUUUUUCUUGUGUUGUUUUGAGUCUGGUAAAUUUGCGGUGGGAUUUGUAGCGUGUGGUUCUCAUAUUGGUGUUUGAUGUCUUGAUGCAGUAUAUGCUCAGUAGCUUAAAAGCAGCAGCUGAAUCUGCUGGUAAGCCAGAAUGGGGCAGCACAGGCCCUACUGAUGCUGGACAUUACAACAACUGGCCAGAAGAUACACAGUUUUUCCGAAAAGAAAAUGGUGGUUGGUGUAGCCCUUAUGGUGAAUUUUUCCUAAGCUGGUAUUCGCAGAUGCUCUUAGAUCACGGAGAGAGAAUUCUCGCAUCUGCCAAGUCAAUUUUCGAUGCUACAGGUGUUAAGAUCUCGGUUAAGAUUGCAGGAAUCCACUGGCACUAUGGGUCUAGGUCCCAUGCCCCUGAGCUCACAGCUGGAUAUUACAAUACACGAUUCCGUGAUGGUUACCUCCCUAUUGCCCAGAUGCUAGCACGGCAUGGUGCCAUAUUCAACUUUACUUGCAUAGAGAUGCGUGAUCAUGAACAACCACAAGAUGCCCUUUGUGCACCUGAGAAGCUAGUCAAGCAAGUGGCUUCAGCAACUCAGACAGCACACGUUCCUCUGGCCGGGGAAAAUGCGUUGCCACGUUAU